UAGCAAGGGUGUUUACUCAGGAUUUGGGU
rnacentral:piRNA from 1 species